CAUUCACGGAGAGUUUGAUCCUGGCUCAGGACGAACGCUGGCGGCGUGCUUAACACAUGCAAGUCGAACGAUGAAGCCCUUCGGGGUGGAU
rnacentral:rRNA from 3 species